AGUGAACGCUGGCGGUAGGCCUAACACAUGCAAGUCGAACGGCAGCACAGUAAGAGCUUGCUCUUACGGGUGGCGAGUGGCGGACGGGUGAGGAAUACAUCGGAAUCUACUUUUUCGUGGGGGAUAACGUAGGGAAACUUACGCUAAUACCGCAUACGACCUACGGGUGAAAGCAGGGGAUCUUCGGACCUUGCGCGAUUGAAUGAGCCGAUGUCGGAUUAGCUAGUUGGCGGGGUAAAGGCCCACCAAGGCGACGAUCCGUAGCUGGUCUGAGAGGAUGAUCAGCCACACUGGAACUGAGACACGGUCCAGACUCCUACGGGAGGCAGCAGUGGGGAAUAUUGGACAAUGGGCGCAAGCCUGAUCCACCCAUACCGCGUGGGUGAAGAAGGCCUUCGGGUUGUAAAGCCCUUUUGUUGGGAAAGAAAAGCAGCAGGUUAAUACCCCGCUGUUCUGACGGUACCCAAAGAAUAAGCACCGGCUAACUUCGUG
rnacentral:rRNA from 1 species